rnacentral:rRNA from 1 species
GAUGAACGCUAGCGGCAGGCCUAACACAUGCAAGUCGAGGGAGAAGCCCUUUCGGGGGCAGAAACCGGCGCACGGGUGCGUAACGCGUAUGCAACCUACCUUUCACAGGGGGAUAGCCCGAAGAAAUUUGGAUUAAUACCCCAUAAUAUUAUUGGAUGGCAUCAUUUGAUAAUUAAAACUGCGGUGGUGAAAGAUGGGCAUGCGUCCUAUUAGCUAGUUGGAGUGGUAACGGCACCCCAAGGCUACGAUAGGUAGGGGUCCUGAGAGCGAGAUCCCCCACACUGGUACUGAGACAGGGACCAGACUCCUACGGGAGGCAGCAGUGAGGAAUAUUGGUCAAUGGUCGGAAGACUGAACCAGCCAUGCCGCGUGCAGGAAGAAUGCCUUAUGGGUUGUAAACUGCUUUUAUAUGGGAAGAAUAAGGCGUACGUGUACGUUGAUGACGGUACCAUAUGAAUAAGCAUCGGCUAACUCCGUG